rnacentral:rRNA from 1 species
GAUGAACGCUAGCUACAGGCUUAACACAUGCAAGUCGAGGGGUAACGAGAGGAAAGCUUGCUUUCCUUGUCGACGACCGGCGCACGGGUGAGUAACGCGUAUCCAACCUGCCCCCAACUAAGGAAUAACCUUGCGAAAGUAAGACUAAUACCUUAUAAUUUCCUCAGAUGUCAUCUGACGAGGAAUAAAGAUUUAUCGGUUGUGGAUGGGGAUGCGUCUGAUUAGCUUGUUGGCGGGGUAACGGCCCACCAAGGCAACGAUCAGUAGGGGUUCGGAGAGGAAGGUCCCCCACAUUGGAACUGAGACACGGUCCAAACGCCUACGGGAGGCAGCAGUGAGGAAUAUGGGUCAAUGGGCGAAAGCCUGAACCAGCCAAGUAGCGUGCAGGAUGACGGCCCUAUGGGUUGUAAACUGCUUUUAUACAGGAAUAAAGUUAGCCACGUGUGGUUAUUUGUAGGUACUGUAUGAAUAAGGACCGGCUAAUUCCGUGCCAGCAGCCGCCGUAA